GACGAACGCUGGCGGCGUGCUUAACACAUGCAAGUCGGGCGAGGCCCACCUUUCGGGGUGGUGUCCUAGCGGCGAACGGGUGAGUAACACGUGGGCAACCUGCCCCCGGCUCGGGGAUAACCCCAAGAAAUUGGGGCUAAUACCGGAUACGACCGCUGACCGCAUGGUCUGGUGGUGGAAAGAUUUAUCGGCUGGGGAUGGGCCCGCGGCCUAUCAGCUUGUUGGUGGGGUAGUGGCCUACCAAGGCGACGACGGGUAGCCGGCCUGAGAGGGUGACCGGCCACACUGGGACUGAGACACGGCCCAGACUCCUACGGGAGGCAGCAGUGGGGAAUAUUGCGCAAUGGGCGGAAGCCUGACGCAGCGACGCCGCGUGGGGGAUGACGGCCUUCGGGUUGUAAACCUCUUUCAGCAGGGACGAAGCCGCGAGGUGACGGUACCUGCAGAAGAAGCACCGGCCAACUACGUGCCAGCCGCCGCCGUAACAC
rnacentral:rRNA from 1 species